UACGGAGGGUGCAAGCAUUAAUCGGAUUUAUUGGGCGUAAAGGGCGCGUAGGCGGAAAGAAAAGUCAGAUGUGAAAUCCUGGGGCUCAACCUCAGAACAGCAUUUGAAACUGACAUUCUAGAGGAUAGGAGGGGAAAACGGAAUUCCACAAGUAGCGGUGAAAUGCGUAGAUAUGUGGAAGAACACCGGUGGCGACGGCGGUUUUCUAUCUUAUUCCUGACGCUGAGGCGCGAAAGCAAGGGGAUCAAACAGG
rnacentral:rRNA from 1 species